GUCCACGCUGUAAACGAUGGGCACUAGGUGUUCGGGGUAUUGACCCCCGAGUGCCGCAGCUAACGCAUUAAGUGCCCCGCCUGGGGACUACGGCCGCAAGGUUAAAACUCAAAGGAAUUGACGGGGCCCGCACAAGCGGUGGAGCAUGUGGUUCAAUUCGACGCAACGCGAAGAACCUUACCUGGGCUAGACAACAUCGGACACCCCUAGAAAUAGGGUCUUCCCGCAAGGGACUGGUGGUUCAGGUGCUGCAUGGCUGUCGU
rnacentral:rRNA from 1 species